CGGCUGGACAGACAAGUGGGGAGCCGCUCCGUCGGCUCGUGGGAAGUCAGAUCCCCGUGCCGUCCAAGGUUGUCAGUGCCGACCACCUGAGACAAAUCCGUCAGUGAGGCGAGCUUCAUGCCUGCAGAGGGGCACAUGCGUGGCGACAGCUCACGUGGCGGUGCCGAUGGAGGGGAGUUUAUUUCACGUGCUUGUCGGGAGUGCCUAACAGCGGGUGGUGAGCUAACCGACACAGGCAGGGCGGCACUCGGGGACGGAUGCAGUGACCAAGAUGGCCGGGAAGACGGUGCGGCUGCUCACGUCUCUAGGACACAGGCAGGACUCACGGCGUGUCGAGUGGGAAUGUGCAGCUGGCAGAGGUGUGGGCGUGGGAGGAAGGGCGGUGGGCGCUGAGUGACCAGCACGCCGGGGCACACCCCCACGCCAGCCGUUCUCCAGAACGCAGAGGCCGGGAGGCCAGGGGCCUGGAGCUGGCAGCCGUGAUGGACUCCAGUUCUUCCAGCAGUUCUCACGCUCACUACUAGGCGUCCACACAAUGCAUGCGGGAGCCAGAAAACAGAGGAAUGACAGCGCACUGUCCCAUCGUGACAGCUGUCCACCAGGCCAGGAGAGCCAGCUGUCCAUGCUGGAGAAGGAAGCUGACCAUGCUGUGGCCUUAGGCUCGUGCCCUCUGCCCCCUCCAAGUCCUGUGCAGAGACCCAACUCCCAUGGUGAUAAGGGGGUCCCUCAAGAGGCGAAGCCGUCGGCGGGGAGCCCUAGGUGUGGGAUCAGUGCCCUCCUGAAGGAGGCUUGGGGGGGUGGGCGUUCGGCCCAGCAGUGGGGUGACCUCGACCUACAUGAGACCGCCUGGACUCAAGUCCCAGCUCGGACGCCUGACUCCAGUUUCCUGCCAAUGCCUUCUCUGGGACGCAGCAGUGAUGGCUCAAGAAUGCAGCUCCUGCCAGUCACAUGGGAGUCCCGGAUGGAGCUCCCAGCUCCCGCCUUGGGCGGAGCGCCACCCUGGCUGUCACAGGCAUUGGGGAGUGAAUGAGCAGAGGGCAGAGCUCUGUCUGUCUGUCUCCUCCUCCUGUCUCCCCAGCUUUCUAGUAAACAAAGCACGUUCCUUAAAGCAGAAGGCCGCAUCCCUGAAGCAGGAAGCAGCUCCCAGCAGCCUCAGGACCUGCCGGUGCGUGGCCUUGCACUCCCAGCUGCAGACCACCUCCGUUGUGUGUAAGCCACCAGUCUCUGCGCUCUGCCGUGGCCGCAUGCUGCACACACUGUCCAGGAAAACAAAACCGGGCGUUACCUGAGUGGUUAGGCAUUCGGAAAAACCUGUGGGGAACUGGGAGACGACCUGGGAGCCCGGCACAGAGAAAUGGGAGCAGAUGCAGGAGGAGGCGAUUCUUGCCUUUAGGACAGGAGGAAGGUUCGCAGAGGCCGCGCGUCAAUAUUGCACCCUCCGCGGGCAGCAGUGGGCAGCAUUCACACGCUUGGAUCUGAGCGUAUCUGAGGCUGGGAGGACGGAGGCGCAGACGUAAACUCCUGAGAGCAGCACAGGUAAACUAGAAUCCCUGCGGAAGUGAGGGAGCCGCAGCGGACUGCAGAGGCAGCGGCGAGGACCGCAGUGGCUGCCGCGCGGUCGCUGGGGGCGGGCAGGGGCUCUGCUGCUGUCCUGUGGUAGUCUUCAGAGGCCAACCCGCUCACUUCUACCUGUUACCUGAAGGAGAGAAGCUUUCAAUGUUUAAAUGUUGAGAGAAAAUACAAAAGUCCAGCUUUCUGCUCAACAAGUUGGAGGAAAAUAUAUAUCUCAGUAAGCAUAGAGAGGAACGGACAAGGCCAAUGAAAAGAACAGUAAGAGCCAAACCAAGAUAACAAUGCAGCCUAACCACUGAGGGCCCCAGUGACGCAGAAGGAAUCUGCGGCGAGAAUAACAGGAGAGGCACUGGCACUGUGGCGCAGCGGGUUAACACCCUGGCCUGCAGUGCCGGCAUCCCAGAUGGGCGCCGGUUCUAGUCCUGGCUGCUCCACUUCCCAUCCAGCCCUCUGCUGUGGCCUGGGAGAGCAGCAGAAGACAGCCCAGGUCCUUGGGCCCAUGCACCCACGUGGGAGACCUGGAGGGAGCUCCUGGCUCCUUGCUUUGGAUCGGGGCAGCUCUGGCUAUUGCAGCCAGUUGGGGAGUGAACCAGUGGAUGGAAGACCUCUCUCUCUCUCUGCCUCUCCUUUUCUCUCUUUCAAAUAAAUAGAUAAAUCUUUUUUUAAAAAAAAAAGAAUUAACGGGAGGAAAGUGGGCGGAAGUCACUGAACCCCACUGGAACAGGAGGGGUCGCCUGCCUGUGGCUGUGAGGCCGCACUUUCUCAGAAAGCACUGUUCACUACUGCGCAGAACGAGUCUGAGCAGCUGUUCGAAAGGGUGAUUCUCCAGGACUGCACUGUGGGUGCUCCCUUCAACUCAGUGUCCAGGCAAAGAACAGAAACCACAGCAGAAACUGGGGUCUGGGGACAGGCCAGCUGUGUGCGGCUCACCCAGGGGCUUCAGCCACUGCUGUGCUGUCGAAAGCUUCAGGAGUAUAUGGUAACGAGUCUUCCCACCCCACUCCAGGAAUCUGACUUCACCACGGUGCUAGUUCUAAAUACAACUGCAGCACGCCCAGAGGAAAGCUGUGGGCAACAGCACCAUGGAGCAAAGCUGCAAAAAUACUAAAAACAAACAAACAAACA